rnacentral:rRNA from 1 species
CUACCAUGGCAGUCACGGGUAACGGAGAAUUAGGGUUCGAUUCCGGAGAGGGAGCCUGAGAAACGGCUACCACAUCUAUGGAAGGCAGCAGGCGCGUAAAUUACCCAAUCCUGAUUCAGGGAGGUAGUGACAAGAAAUAACAACCUAUGUCCUCACGGACUGUGGAUUGUAAUGAGUUUAAUUUAAAACACUGAACGAGGAACAAUUGGAGGGCAAGUCUGGUGCCAGCAGCCGCGGUAAUUCCAGCUCCAAUAGCGUAUAUUAAAGUUGUUGCAGUUAAAAAGCUCGUAGUUGAAUUUCUAGUCAACCGUUAGCUGGCUUCACAGUCGUUAACGAUUGCCUAUCCGACAUUGAACUAUAAUGGUUAUUAAGUUAACCUUAUAGCGAACUGUCAUUUUACUUUGAAAAAAUUAGAGUGUUUCAGGCAGGCAAUUGCCCGAAUAUCUUAGCAUGGAAUAAUGGAAUAGGACUUUGGUUCAUUUGAUUGGUUAUUGAAUCAGAGUAAUGAUUAAUAGGGACAGUUGGGGGCAUUAGUAUUUAAUUGUCAGAGGUGAAAUUCUUGGAUUUAUUAAAGACUAACUUAUGCGAAAGCAUUUGCCAAGGAUGUUUUCAUUAAUCAA